rnacentral:pre_miRNA from 11 species
CCCGCGGAGGAAGAAACUCAAUUUUCGUCGGCGUGCAUGAAUCUGGUGCACGGUUUUCCAGUUGUAAUAUCGCUUCGUGACUAGAUUACAUGCUCGUCUAUGAAGUUGAGAUCCGGCAACGCUACCAAG